CAAUUAGAUAGUUUAAGUUAGAAUAACAGCUUUGGGGGUUGUAGGUCUCGGGUUGUGAGUUAGUUG
rnacentral:tRNA from 1 species